AGUAGAAUAAUAGAACGUGUGGCAGGCCAAAGAUCCAAAAGAAAAGAUGGCUGCAGGCCUGACACUUGUGAGAUUUUGAUUUGGAUUAGGAUAGUAUGAAGCAGCCAUAAUGCUAUUUUUUAAAUUAACAAUAUAAGCUAUUCAUCACUGAAUUAAAGGGCCAUGCUUUUAAUGUGUGUGUGUGUGUGGAGGGGGGGGAUUUUAGAACAAAGCUACUGGCAUUUCCCAAUUUACCUAUUCUUUUCAUGAUGUAUUUCUGUACCUCUAGGUGGUCGUGUCUAUCCUGUGUCAGUGCCAUACUCUAGUGCUCAGAGCACAAGCAAGACCAGUGUGACUUUAUCACUUGUGAUGCCUUCUCAAGGUCAGAUGGUCAAUGGUGCCCACAGUAGCUCUACGUUGGAUGAAGUCACACCCACUCUUACCAAUCAAAGUCCUACUGUGACUCUUCAGUCUACUAACACUCAUACCCAGAGUAGCAGCUCAAGCUCAGAUGGAGGCCUUUUCCGUUCUCGUCCUUCUCAUUCUCUCAGGCCGGAUGAAGAUGGGCGCGUUGAAUCCUAUGUAGACUUUGCAGAGUUUUACCGCCUUUGGAAUAUGGACCACAGUGAACAGGGGAUACUCACUGUGUAACAAUGCAUGGAGAGUAACCCCUGUGAAGUCCCAUCAGACAGUAGGUUGCAAUUCAUCUCUUGGCUGACAACAUUUUUCUACAAAGCAUGAUCUUUUGGAGACUUCGGGACAAAUUGCUAAUGUGAUGAUUCUCAUCAACUUGUUGAGCAUAUUUACUCCUAUUGAAUUCUUUUCUAAUGGUCUCUUCCACUGUGAAAUCUUGUGGCAUUCGAGAGGGUUGCAAACCCUUUUACUGCAUGGCUGUAGAAGAAGAAGAAUAGUCAGCAGCCAGACUCCUCUUAUGGAUAGGUCCACAGCAAGUACCUGUCAAGAGUGUGUGUGUAUGUAUAUAUGUAUGUGUGUGCAUCUUGUUGAAGGCAUAAAUCUGGGAAUACUUAUGAUAUCAAAGAUACCUCUGAUUUGCAAAAUAAAUGCUAACUUAUAGUUACUA